AAUUCCAGUAACAGAUGGAUCAGUUUUCUCUUUGUCCCUAAAAACCUGCAGCUGUGUGAUUCCAGCUAAAUCUGCUCUGUUGAUCGUUUCCCUCAGAUCUUCAACAGUUUCUCUUUCCACUGUUAUUAGUCUCAUUCUGUCACCUUUUGACCUGAACCUGUGUUCCACACCUUCAUCUCUUCCUUGUUGUUGCUGGUCCAACUCCAGUCCAGUAGGUGGCGCUAACGCGCCUUCACGCUGCCACAUGACCGGAAGCUGUUAUCAGAGCUAGCUUGCUGUUAGCUGCCAGCGCUAGCUUGCUGUGCUGGUGUGUGAGGGGAACCUCUGAGGCUCUGCAGCAACAAUGUCUUCAGCUCAGUCUCUGAGAGAGGUGAUCAGAGAGCGGCUAACUGCUGCUGCUGCAGAAAUCUUCUCCGAGUUUGAAAAAACCAUCGUCCGCUACGAGGAAGAGAUCGAUCGUCAGCGCAGACUGCUGGAGAUCAGCUGGAAACCACAGAUCAACUUACACAGAAUAGAACUCCCACUGCAUUAUGUCAGGACAGAUGAGGAGGUUCUGACUGACCAGCAGCUCUGGAACCAGGAGAGGACCUCCAGUUUGGAGCAGGAACAAGCAGAACCUUUACAGGAGGGACCAGAACCUCCACAGAUGAAAGUGGAGCAGGAUGAGCCAGAACCUUUGCAGAUUGUAAAACAAGAGGAGCUCUGCAUCAGUCAGGAUGAAGAGCAGUGUGUACUGAAGCAGGAGACGGUGACCUCCCUUGUGACUCCUGCUGGUGAGGAAAGAGACCACGAUGAAGCAGAACCAGACAGACACCAACUCCUUUUGUCACUGUUUCCUGAGGCUGAGAUCAGAGCUGCUGCUGCUCCGGGGUCAACAGAACUCCCACUGCAUUAUGUCAGGACAGAUGAGGAGGUUCUGACUGACCAGCAGCUCUGGAACCAGGAGAGGACCUCCAGUUUGGAGCAGGAACAAGCAGAACCUUUACAGGAGGGACCAGAACCUCCACAGAUGAAAGUGGAGCAGGAUGAGCCAGAACCUUUGCAGAUUGUAAAACAAGAGGAGCUCUGCAUCAGUCAGGAUGAAGAGCAGUGUGAACUGAAGCAGGAGACGGUGACCUCCCUUGUGACUCCUGCUGGUGAGGAAAGAGACCACGAUGAAGCAGAACCAGACAGACACCAACUCCUUUUGUCACUGUUUCCUGAGGCUGAGAUCAGAGCUGCUGCUGCUCCGGGGUCAACAGAACUCCCACUGCAUUAUGUCAGGACAGAUGAGGAGGUUCUGACUGACCAGCAGCUCUGGAACCAGGAGAGGACCUCCAGUUUGGAGCAGGAACAAGCAGAACCUUUACAGGAGGGACCAGAACCUCCACAGAUGAAAGUGGAGCAGGAUGAGCCAGAACCUUUGCAGAUUGUAAAACAAGAGGAGCUCUGCAUCAGUCAGGAUGAAGAGCAGUGUGUACUGAAGCAGGAGACGGUGACCUCCCUUGUGACUCCUGCUGGUGAGGAAAGAGACCACGAUGAAGCAGAACCAGACAGACACCAACUCCUUUUGUCACUGUUUCCUGAGGCUGAGAUCAGAGCUGCUGCUGCUCCGGGGUCAACAGAACUUCCACAGCAUCAUAUCUGGGAAAAAGAAGAGGUUCUGACUGACCAGCAGCUCUCUGACCAAGUGUCAACCUCCAGUUUGGACCAGGAGGAACCAGAAGAUCUACUGAUCACAGAGGACCAGCCAGAACUCUAUAUCCAUCAGCAUGAAGGGCAGUUCCUUUUUAAGCAAAAACAUGUAACCUUCGUAGGGACUUAUCCUUCUAACGAAACAGACUGCCAUGAUCCAGAACCCAACAGGAAGCAACCCUUGAGUCAGAAUUCUACAGAAGCAGAGAACCAAGAUCAGGGUGGAUGCAAGAAAGAAAACUCAGAAUCAAACAGCAAUGAAGAACUGACACGUAAUAAAAGACGUCUGCGAAGCGAAGAUCACAGAGACAAUGUAGAUGUUCAGACACUGAAAAAGCACAAGAGGGCUCACAUAGGUGAGAGGCCAUUUUAUUGUAAGCUCUGUGGAAAAUAUUUCAGUCACAAGUCUUGUUUAUGUCGUCACAUGAGAAUUCACACAGGUGAGAAGCCAUAUCCAUGUAACGCUUGUGGUAAAUGUUUUACUGCCAGUAGUGACUUGACUACACACGUGAGAACUCACACAGGUGAGAAGCCAUAUCCAUGUAAAACUUGUGGUAAAUGUUUUACUGCCAGUAGUGUCUUGACUAAACACAUGAGAACUCACACAGGUGAGAAGCCAUAUCCAUGUAAAACCUGUGGUAAAUGUUUUACUAACAGUAGUGUCUUGACUAAACACAUGAGAACUCACACAGGUGAGAAGCCAUAUCCAUGUAAAACUUGUGGUAAAUGUUUUACUGCCAGUAGUGUCUUGACUAAACACAUGAGAACUCACACAGGUGAGAAGCCAUAUCCAUGUAAAACUUGUGGUAAGUGUUUCACUGUCAGUAGUAACUUGACUUAUCACAUGAGAACUCACACAGGUGAGAAGCCAUAUCCAUGUAAAACUUGUGGUAAAUGUUUUACUGCCAGUAAUAUCUUGACUAAACACAUGAGAACUCACACAGGUGAGAAGCCAUUCCCAUGUAAAACUUGUGGUAAAUGUUUUACUAACAGUAGUGUCUUGACUAAACACAUGAGAACUCACACAGGUGAGAAGCCAUAUCCAUGUAACACUUGUGGUAAAUGUUUUCGUGCCAGUAGUACCUUGACUAAACACAUGAGAACUCACACAGGUGAGAAGCCAUAUCCAUGUAACACUUGUGGUAAAUGUUUUACUGCCAGUAGUGACUUGACUACACACAUGAGAACUCACACAGGUGAGAAGCCAUUUCCAUGUAAAACUUGUGGUAAAUGUUUUACUGUCAGUAGUAACUUGACUUAUCACAUGAGAACUCACACAGGUGAGAAGCCAUAUCCAUGUAACACUUGUGGUAAAUGUUUUACUAACAGUAGUGUCUUGACUAAACACAUGAGAACUCACACAGGUGAGAAGCCAUAUCCAUGUAACACUUGUGGUAAAUGUUUUACUGCCAGUAGUACCUUGACUAAACACAUGAGAGUUCACACAGGUGAGAAGCCAUAUCCAUGUAACACUUGUGGUAAAAGUUUUACUGCCAGUAGUGACUUGACUACACACAUUAGAACUCACACAGGUGAGAAGCCAUAUCCAUGUAACACUUGUGGUAAAUGUUUUACUACCAGUGGUGACUUGACUAAACACAUGAGAACUCACACAGGUGAGAAGCCAUAUCCAUGUAACACCUGUGGUAAAUGUUUUACUGUCCGUAGUGACUUGACUAAACACAUGAGAACUCACACAGGUGAGAAGCCAUAUCAAUGUAAAACUUGUGGUAAAUGUUUUACUGCCAGUAAUAUCUUGACUAAACACAUGAGAACUCACACAGGUGAGAAGCCAUAUCCAUGUAAAACUUGUGGUAAAUGUUUUACUGCCAGUAGUGGCUUGAUUUAUCACAUGAGAACUCACACAGGUCAGAAUAGGGAUGGGUACCGUUGACAUUUGAAUCGAUUCGGUACUAAUUCCCGGUACCUAGGAAUCGAUACCGGUACUUAACGGUACCAAUUUUAGAUACUUUUGAGUGUUUAAUAUUUUAAUUCUUUUAUAAUUAAAUAUAUAUAUUUUCUCAAUAUAUAACCAUAUUUGAUAAAUAUCACGAUAAAUAACAUUCAACUGUUUGUAGUUUAACAUCGACCUUGUAGUUUUAUAAGCUGAUAAUUAAACUGAAGCAAACAUCUUUACUGUGAACUAAAUUUACUGUGUAUCUUCAUUCCUUUUGCCGUCCUUUUUCAUUUGAUUUUUCCUACUGGGAAGUUAGAAUUUCCAGGAGAAAGCGAACGCACCAUUAGCUGAUAACAAUGGUGGCAAUGGAAGCUAACAUAUCAAGCUAACAUUAACAGUUUAUUUAGCUGCUGGAGCAGAUUUAAACAAUGAUGCCUCACACUUGGAUCAUUGUUGCUGGUUUCAUCUCCACCCAAUAACCCGUCACAUUUAGUAAAGUGAAGCCAAACUUUAGAGCGUGUUCAUGUCCUUUUAGUCGGAAAAUUGGAGUUCUGAGGAGAAAGCAAACCCACCAUUAGUUGAAUGGAAGCUAACAUAUCAAGUUAACGUUAUCUUAAACAUUUUAUUUACCUACAGGAGCAGAUUAAGAUGAGGAUGUCUCACUUAGAUCGUUGUCGCUGGUUUCAUCAUCACCCAGUUACCCAUCACAUUUAGUGAAAUGGACCCAAGCUUUAGCGUGCGUUCUUUUCUACCAUGCUGUUCUGUUUACAACUGGCUCGCAGCGAGCGACGACAUAACGCUCUUGCGCAUGCGCAGCUGUCUAGGCAAGUUCUCGUUAUGAAGGACGGGUACCGAAACGAGGCACAGUUUCAAAUGAUGUGAAUCGGUAGCCUAGUGAACUAGAUCAAAUUCUUGCUUUGCAAAGAAUGGUUUAGGCAUGCUCCAUUGGAACCUCAGCAGCUCCUACCAGGACUCUAGCUAGCCAAUCACAGCUCUCUAGAGGGGUUUCAAACACAUGGUAAAUGGCCUGUAUUUCAUAUAGCGCCUUCUAGAGUUCUUGAAACCCCCCAAGGCGCUUUACAACACAAUCAGUCAUUCACCCAUUCACACACACAUUCACACACUGGUGGGGAUGAGCUACAAUGUAGCCACAGCUGCCCUGGGGCGCACUGACAGAGGCGAGGCUGCCGAGCACUGGCGCCACCGGUCCCUCCGACCACCACCAGCAGGCAACGUGGGUUAAGUGUCUUGCCCAAGGACACGACGACAGCGACAGACUGAGCGGGGCUCGAACCUGCAACCUUCCGAUUACGGGGCAAGCACUUAACUCCUGUGCCACCGUCGCCCACAUAAAGAGCUGUGAUUGGUCCAUAAUGGUGGGCCAAUCAUAGUGCUCUAUCUGCUUAGUGAACAAAUCACAGAGCUUUAUCCGCUUUGUGGGCCAAUCAGGGCACUCUAUAUGCCUGGUGGGUGGGAUGAUGCAACAGAGUGAAACAAGAGUAUGUCACAUUCAUUGUCCAGUGGAAUGCGGAGAUCAUUUGAAAGACAACGGUAGAACCCGCCCCACAACCGAAAGCCGUCAAUGGAGCGUGGCCAGACUAAAUAAUACAUUUAUUUAGUCUGGCUUGCCAGGCUAGUGAAUCGGUAUUCAGUCGGUACUAUGGAAUUCGGUCGGUACCUUAAAAAGCACCGAAUUCGGUACCCAUCGCUAGGUGAGAAGCCAUAUCCAGUUAACACUUGUGGUAAAUGUUUUACUGUCAGUAGUAACUUGAGUUAUCACAUGAGAACUCAAAACAAGUGAAAAGUAUUUUCCAAGUUUGGUCUGUAUGAAAUUUAGCCAGAUAUUUUCUUUACCUUUUUGUAAUAGUACUUGACCACUCUGAGUUUUGCAUGCAGGCUGAACAUGAAAAUAGUCUCCUACACCUUUCUUCUGCAUUAGCUUCUGAUAGAAAAUAGAUGAAACUCAUGUAUUUGAAAAUCCUCACAGAUCUAUGUCACACUGUGAAUUGGUAUUUAUGGACUUGACGAUCUUGAUUCACGACAGGGAAGACUUGUUGUUUUAACGUCCAGUAAUCAGCAGUGGACGUCUCGGCUAGUUUAAGCUAACUGUCAGCAUUAGCAACUACACCUCACAGCAGAAGGUCCUCCAGGCUCGUGUAUUUUGAGAGAUAAAAUAUCCAUGUUGCAAGUCAGUGGUAGAGUUGCAUUGCUGUUAUCUAAUCUGGGGCGAGAUGUCCACAUAUCACGAAAUAAGACUCCAAAACCCGCUGUCUAAGGCCUAGUCCACACGUAGCCAGGUUUUUUUAAAAACGAAUAUCCGCCCCUCCAAAAACUUGUAUCCACACCACCUCGUUUAAAAAAAAAACUGUCCACACGUACCCGGAUAAACACGUUGUUCAGGACAUGCCAGACCUGUAGGCGGCAGUACUUCCCCCGUUCUUAACCUCGUCCUUCGUCUGUGGUCUUCCGCAAGGAGCAGUAAUUCCGCUUACAAAAACAAACAAGCAAAAGGCGCUUGGACAAUUGAUAAAGUGAGCGCAGCUCUGAGGGCAUCCAUGCUGUCGGCUAGUGUAAACACAGGUCGCACACGUGAUGUCAGCAUUUUUUGUUGCGGAAAGUGACGUUGCAGACCUUAAAACUCCGAUUUUGUCUGUCCACACGCAGACACCCAAAACGGAGAAAACGCAGAUCUUCACUUUGGCCGAAGUUUUUAAAAAGAUCCGUUUUCAUGUGAAAAAACUCCGUUUUCGUGUGGAUGACAGGCCAAAACGUAGAAAAAUAUCUACGUUUUGGCAGAUCCCCGGCUACGUGUGGACAGGGUCUAAAGCUCAGCUGUGAUGUGAGAAAAUUUUAGGUCUGAGAAAUGGUGCAACAGUAUAAUUGUUCCCCCUGAGAACCAUUUACGAGGUAUUCAAUCCUACCAGAGACCACCACACUGAAAAAAUGUCACCAACUCAUUGAACACAUAAGCUAAUUCCAAAGCUCUGUUAAAGGCACACCGAGAUUUUUUUCUUUCUUUGAAUAAAAUUCUAUGUAGUUUAUUAACAAAUUAAUCUUUUUUCAUUGAUAGUUUUAGUCGUUUAUUCUAAUUUAGCUGGGAAUUUUACAUUUUAAUAUACAUAAACUGUGGUUGGACAAUAUUUGAAUUGUUUAGCAUUUUUCAUUAGUCUUUAUUUUCAAGGUUUGUUUUUGUUCUGUUUAGUUUUAGUUUCAUCUACUUUUUAGUUUCAGUUUAGUUUUUAUUAGUUAUAAUCAAUUUUUAUAGGUUUUUGUAAUAUUAAGUUACAUAUCAGUGACAAGACUGAUAGUCUGAUACUGACUGUUGGAUAAAAACAGUAUUAGAUGCAUGGAAAAUGAUUUUGUCCUGGUACCAUCUGGUGUUUUUUAAUUGAAACGAAGGUUUAUUCCAUGUUCAUAUUUUGUUAUUAUUCUGUGCCUCUGGCAGGGAGGUUCGACCUUGUAAGUCUGCAGUUUUGUUAUCACGAAAGCUCCCUAGUGAAGUCCAGACGGAGCUUUUCUCUGUUAUACCAAGAACCAGGGAAAGUUUCCUUUCUGUGAGGGGGUGGAUUUGUUUAUCUUUAAUGUGUGUGUGUGGGGGUGUGCAUGUAUCGGGGACUUUGAGAGUGUUACGUGUGACAGGUUUGGCUGCCGGUUCGCUGAGGGAGGUUCGGCUGCCAGUUCGCCGUGUGUGUGUGUGUGUGUGUGUGUGUGUGUGUGUGUGUUCCUUUGAGAGUGGUCUUGCUGUGUGUGUGUGAGAAAGAACGAGGGAAGCGUUAAUUCGUUUCGGUGGCUGCCAAAUGUUAUCUGAAAGAAUUAUUUUACUAUACGCCCUCAUAAGCAGUCUGAUUGUCUUUCUAAUAAUUUUCAUACUAGAACUAAUUGGAGUUCUUCCAGCGUGUUUUACUAAACCAGUAAACAAAACAUCUUAGAUACGAUGGGGAAUACUAAAUCAAAAGACAGAGGAAGGGAGAAACAGCGAGAUGAGGCAGAUAAGACGGGUGGGCAGUCAGAACAGAAAAGACAGAGAGAAGGGGAAACAAAAAGAUAACGAAGGCAAAGCAGGGAAGGAUGUAUCCGUCUUCAGAAAACUAUGCGAUGAUUUAUCCCUUGGGCCAACUCCCCCGUCGUAUCGGGGAGCUGGUGAAGUGGCAGGUUCAGCUGCAGCUGCUCCUUCCGCUCUGCCGGCUGAAAGGAUGCACCUGUUCAAACCUGGAGAACAGUCAGAGAAGUGGGUCUCAGAUGGAUGAUGGAUGUGAUUCAUUUGGUAAACCUGUUCUUUUUAAAGCUGCCGCUCUGGUGGCACAUGGCCCAGGUCAUGUGUUAUCAGGGGGAAUGAAUCAUUUAAUUUAACUUGUCAAACGUUUUGGUUCCGAUGGUCUUAGUUUAACAAUAUCAGUCCCUUUCUGGAAUGUAAACCAAAUGUUUACAUUGGCAGUCUAAACACCCAAGCCAAAUAUUACGAACUCUUUUACCUGUUUUCUUUUACCGUUUUGACUAAUUUGGUUAAUUUUGAAAGAAGUGGUUUAAUUUUAAUCUUUGUCAAUUUCUUUGGAGUAAUGAGCUGAUUUUGUGAGGCUUAUUUUUAAAUUUUACGGUGAGUUGUUCUCACCACAUUCUAUUUUAUAAUUUUUUUUGGUCUUGGUGCUGGAAUUCUACACAACGCAGUACAACCAUUAGUGAGGUUUUGUUUAGUACUGCUACAGUAAGGGUGAACUGCCAUUUUUUUUACCCUUUUGCUUGAUUUGAAUAGGUCAGGCAGCUAGGGUUAGAUACAUGCAUUCAGGUUUUUAUUAUAUGAUGUUUUAGGGGUUGUGAGAGCUAGAUUUUUGUUUGUUAUUUUGGCCUUUGUUCACCCUGAAGCAAACGCAGUGGAUCCAGCCUGUUAGAAAAUAGAUUUCCUACCCUAUUCAGGGUUCAUGGUUAAAACUCUGUUCUCUUCUGUUGCUGAGACAGUUUUUUCUUAUCUAAUGGUUUUAUAUUAUGACUAGUCCAUGUUGUUUGAGUUUAUUCAGUCCUGGGUCGAUAAAUGUUAACCUUUUCUUUUCUGUGACUGUUGUUUACAUGUUUUGUUUUGACCCUAAGUCACCUCAUCUUUAAACAAUAAAGGACAUCCUUACUAGUGAUUUUGUUUUUCUUGGUUUACCUGCCAUAAGCAGACUUCUUACCCAGGUGGGAUUUAUGGACAUAAUGAUUUGAAUUGCUGCUUUAAAAAGGUGUUCGGACCUUUUCAUAACUUUAGAAAUUUCUUAUCAAAUGAGUCUUGUCAACCAUUGAUGGGGUUAUUUUUUGGGCUGGGACUUGAUUAAAAAUUUUAAUCUAAUUAAUUACAGGCUUUGUAAUUAAUUAAUCUCAAUUAAUCGCAUUUUAAUCGUUCAGGAAAAUGUGCUCUCAAAGUAAAAUUUUAUUUAAAAUUAUGAGACAGAGAAUCAAACAUUAGACAUGGUUAUUACUGUAAACUAAAGAUUUUAAUAAAAAUAUGCAUUUUAAUUAUUCAAAUGUCCCUGUGUGAUAUGAAACAAAACCCAAUUCAACUAAAAUUUAUAAUUACAAAUAGAAAACGCCUGCAAAGGGUUCCUGAGCCUUUAAAUAGUCUUUCUGUCUAGUUGAAUGACUGAAAUAAAUUUGACUUUGCACCAGAUUCUAAUUUUUCCAGUUUCACUUGUUUGUAUAAUUGGGAGUUUUUAUCAGCAUUUCUACUCAUAAUGUAGUAAAAACACAUUUACUACAUUAAAUGGUGAACAUUAUAGUGUAUAUAAUGCUUUCAGAAUCUAAAUGCUUCACGCCUUUCUCAUCCCUCCUACAAUUUUACUUUAUCUAUGUCUUUACAUAUUUCAUGUGGGGUUUCCAGCAGAGCUCAUGGCCAUGCAUUAGUCCCUAAAAAAAGGAUUAUUUCUCCCAGUUUAAUUUCUUUUAAUAAUUUUUCCCUACACUCUUUUUACUGUUUGUUUUUUAUAUUUAUUUUUUAUUUUUGUUUUCCUCUCACCGACACAUCCACAUCUAUUUUCCUCCAAUUCCCAUGCAGCACGAAUAUAGCUUUGUUUACCUUCAGUGACAUCUAAUUUAAGUCAAACCAAAAUUUCAAUUUAGCCAAUUUCGGCUGUAGCUAAAUCCAAAUGUUCUCGCAACGUCACUCCCGCAAAAAGCCAAUUAAAAAUGUUAUGUUAAAGAUUUCACAAGAUGAAAAAAUGUGAACAUAAUUUUUAUCGAAUGAGAGGUACAAUUAUUCAAUCUUUUGUAACAUUAUUUUCUACGUUAGAACUUACAGCUGAUAGAAAAAUAUAGGAUCAGGUUUGGUUAGAUCUGUUGGGAAACUCAAAGGAGCUGAAACAACACUGUUUUUCUCCUGUCCGCUGCCGCUGAGUACCCUAAGACCUGUAGAAAUAAGAAGUAAUUCAGUCAACUAAGAAACCUGAUGAAUACCGAGAAAUUGUUGUGCACUGAGUUAUUUACUUUACCCCUAUUUCAUUUAAAUUUUGUUAAUCAUAUAAGCUAUGAUAGAAAGCUAGGAUAGGCUAUAGAGCAAACAUAGAACAGCCUGGUACAGGUUCUAGCCAGGUUACAGGAAAUAAUAGUUUAUCUCUUUCUCAUUAUUCAGCGUCUCAAAAUCCAGCCACUAAUGUUAAUGAUUCUUAAAGUUCAAGCAAGACAAUUAUUGGAUUUUAUUUCUAUAGCAAGAUUUACAGCAAUAGUUUUACAAAACCUAUGCAAAAUAAUUAUAAGUGGGUGUAACUAAACAAUCUGGCACAAAUAUUUUAUUUCCUGACUGAUUAUUUGUUAAUUUUAUGGUUUUCAUAAAGACGAUCCUGAGAAGUUCAGAGCUGCUGUUCUGCAGCACCCUGUGCUAUUUUUAGACUACAGGAUUCUUGUGUGUAAAAGUGGGUGGAGUCAGGUCCCCAGGCCUACACUCCAGUCAUUUUCAUCUCUGACUGUCCAAGAGGAAGGAUCUCAUGGAGACCAACCACGAACCUACGUCGGGCAAAGCCUGGACCACACCAUGUGUUUCCAUCAGCUGUCUCUAUUAAACACUGCGUCAUUCAACAGAAGAUCCAGCCAAAGCAGCAUUUACUUCACAUGCAAAAAAAACCACUCACAUCCACUCACACACAACGGCACAAACAACAUUUUUUCUGUUUGUCACAGUCUUUUAAACAAAAAUAAGUCAGUCCGUCACUUAUUUAUUCUCUUUAUAUAUAUAUAUAUAUAUAUAAAUGUCUGUUUACCUUAUCUUUUCUUAGUAUCUUAUUUCCAACUGGACCAUUAUUAUUCUGUUUUCUCCUAAUUUAAAUUUAACUGACCCAAAUUGGCACUUACUUUUCCUACUUUACACCAAAUUGGCAGGAGCUCCAUUAACAGCUUUUAUUCGUGUAUUUGUUUUUUAAGCACAGAAUUUGUGUAACACUGCACUGGUAAUUUUCAGAAUUUAAUGCUUACUAUGCUUUUAAGCAGGUCCUAUGCAACCACUAGAGCAAGCCAAAUUGCAAUUUUUUGAGAGCGCUCAGAAACAGUUUAUAUAUUUAUUUUCUACAGAUCUGUUUCGAUCUUACUGUUUAGCAGCUGUCUGACUUUCAAUAAAUGUAUAUAUAUAUAU